rnacentral:lncRNA from 1 species
UGAAUCUGUCAGAUGGGAUUAAUAGAUUGUUACAAAUCUAUUGGAUCUUUCGAUAUAUUUCUUGAAGUCUUCACUCGACCUCAACAUCUUAGUUGGUAUGUGUUUCAGAGCACAAAAGAGAUUGUCAGUCAGAGGUUAAAUCAUGCCCUGACCAAGGACUUGAAGAUCGUCGUCUCCUUGGCUCUUGAGUAUGAUCCGCCGCC